AUCUUGACAAUCUGGUGCGUUCUCUUUUUUAGAAUAAACCAAAAGGAAAUUCUGAUAUAUGAUAAAGUAUAUUUAUGUUUAGUUUUGGAAAAACAAAAGCAGUCGUUCUUUAUAUAUUGAGUGAGCACAUGGGCACCUAAUGAGCCACAAGGACACACUAUUUAGACAAAAUAGUGCUAAUGUUUUAGUCAAUAUCAUUCAAUAUGUGUGUGAAUGUGAUUUGGCUUUUAGUUUUCCUUUUUGAAUUUAGAAGUGACCAUGAGACACUGCAGAAGAUUUAUCCCAUGCCCUUUACUUAUAAGGGCAGCAUGAAUAUAUACAAAAACUUGCACAGAAAUAAGGUAAUUUAAAUUUCCAUUAAUUCUUUCUUUUUUUUUCUACAGUCAUUUUUUGUGUUCUGUGAUUAUGGGGAAAGUUACAAUAAAUUCAAAUAAUGAAAAUCUAGGCAGCUUCAGACGUAGCACACCUGUAUUAAAUUUGCAGUCAUUAUAAAUAGGUACAUAAUAAAAAGAAAAUGAAAUGUUGAAAGGCAAUAUGAUGCAGGGGUUCAAGAUUUUAUUUUAUUUAUAGUGACAAAUUUUAAACACAAGCUCAGACAGGAGAAUGGAAUAGAAUUGUGAUUAUUUUCCUCAUCAGUACUUUAGUGUCAUUUGCUCAUUAGCUUUAUAAAACAGUCACACAAACACACACAUGCACACGCAGCAGCUGUGUGUCACAUGACCUCUUUUCAUGGAUUUGUUUUUCAAAGGGACAAAAUCAAAGGCUUGUAAAAGUGCUUCACACGUAAAAACGGUCUAUUAAUGUUUCCUUUGGAAACAAAGGUGUCUUUGAAUGCACCGAAUCAAAGACUAAACAGAUUACACAAGUGAACACUGAAUUAACAUAGCAGCCAUUUUUUAUUUGGAUCCCCCUCAGUGAGGCAAUAGACAGCUUUCUGUCACACAGCAAAUACAAAAUAGAAAUGUACCUUUGUACCUUACUAUCAACCCAAUGACAACACUAACUUGUACAAAACACAGCGAUUAUGAUGUAUGUUAAUGUAAUGCUUAUCUACAGAUUCUGGGCAAUCUUUAAAAAAUAAUACAGUGGUUACAAAAUUUAAAUGCCAUGUGUGUGUGGUUUUUUUCUUUUGUUUUUUUUUGUACAUUUUUGAAUGUUCAAACAUUAUAACAUGGAUCAGCAGAUGCAUAAACUACAACGAAGUACUGUUAAAAAAAAAACUACAACGCUCCUAAGAGCAGUUGCAAACAGCAUCAAAGGACAGCGCAGAGAAGCUUUGUGGUAAUGAUGUGCUGUAGGAAAACUGACAAUUUUCUUUUAAGGUAUUUUUGAUAUAUACAACAUUUUUAUAACAACUGAAGGUAGCAUAGUUACUUGAUUGCACUAUAGCUAUUUUUUCAGUCAUAAGUCUUGACAGAAUUAACUUGUCUCUGUGGAGGGUGUACACUACUUUGACCAAAAUAUUCAGUCAGAUAUUGGAUGGAUGACUGGGGUCUAAAAACAUAAAGAGGAAUAAGGAAUAAAACAAAUGUGCAUGAAACAAAAGCUUUACAUGCAGAUAAAUACUGUGUAACCACUUUGAAAGACCUUGCUGUGAAUAGGAGGAGAUAAUGUGCAAAAAAAUUUAUCUUCUAAUUUCUUUCAUGUACUAGUAUUAAGUGCAGGCCUUUUAUAACGCCUAAUAAAAAUGUUUUCAACAUCAUCUAGCUUCAAAUAUUGUGUCUUUCCAUGCUGUUAGCUCAAGAAUUGCAAUAUCUCCUUAAAAUAAUUGAUGAUGGUCUUCUUUUAUUAAAACCUACCAAUUUGUUUUCAGCUUUUUAAGGACUGAAUUGCUGGUUUCUGUGAAAAUAAAGUAGCCAACACAGAGUCGACUAGACCACAUCUCAUCUGAGUCAUUUGUGCCUCUCUCCUUUCUCCUCUUUUGUUCUCUCCUGCUUAGAGCUGAAAAAGUGAGUUCACAAAAAUAUUCUGUGUUUCCAAUCUAAAAAGAUAGAUGAGUGAAGAUCAAGUACAGAGGAAACUAUUUCUGAAGAGUACAAGUGAAGAAGCAGCAAUAAGCGGCAACUCAUUGUUUGCUAAAAGACCUUUUGAAAUUUGCUUGGUCUGAAGAGGGGAUGAGAUUUUCAUCUAGCAGUACAAGCUUCACAAGAAAUAAACAUAUUUUAUUAAAAGCUUAGUUUGUGCUUAUCUUGAGAGCAUAAUUCAAUUUAACUGUACACAUGUAACAAAACAAUGGAUAUAUGAUGCAGCUUUGUCACACACCAUUUAAAAUUGACUGGUUUAGCAUGAUGGCUGUCAAGAUAGGAUGCCUGAUAAAUAAUAAGUGCUGGUUAUUUGUAGCCUUCAUCCUUGUUCUGUCUCUCUCUCUCUUUCUGCCUGUCCUCAUCUCUUCUGGUGGAAGGGACAAUAAUUCAAGGAGUGGAGUCAUGAAGAGGAACUUAGAAAUGAUAAAAAUCGGAACUUGUUGUGUGAGUCAGUGCAAAGAAGCAAUGCCAAAGGUAAAAACACAAAAUGGAAGGAAACCAAAGUAAUCCCAUAUAGAACCUCGGAUGGAAAAUGAGAUCUAUAUACAUGUAAAAUGAAUAUUAUGAAUAUUUUUUGUUUAUCAAACGUACUACCAGCAUCUAUUGGGCCAAAUGUGCCAUACACUGUGACUCUUCUAGAAGUCUGACUAACAAAGCCACUUUGAAAUCAGAAAAUGAAUUUUUGCAAUUAUAACAGCACCUUCUGUCUCCACAGACCCCCGGGACUUGCUGCAGGAAACUAUGCUGCCCUGUCGGCUACCAACUGCGACGUGUAACAGAGUGAAUAAAAGCCAGCGCUCUCAAAACUACAAGCAUGCUUUAUUCUGCAGAGGAUACCUCUAAAAUGUACUUGGCUCUAACCUUCUCUUUUAAAAGUUGCCACUUUUUUGAUAGUGGUGAGUUCUAAAGACUCUUCCAUAAAGACAGCCUCAGCCAUGAACUGUCCACGGGGGACUUGUUAAAGGGUCAGAUCCUUGUUUUGACAAACAAAAGAAUCGUACGCCACACUCUGGAUACUCACUGUUCCUGGGAAACAACUGAUUUUUAACUGGCUUAUGAUUAAGAAACUAUUAAUAAGUUGUUCUUGAAUCAUCCUAAACUGAGGAUAACUUUCAACAAGAGAACUGAAUUGAGACCUUCCCACGCUGCUUUCUGAUGCAUCAUAAAUCAUAUUUAAUAUGCCUAGUUUAUGUUGUACAAUCUAUAAGCUUUACUUUAAAAUGUUAACAUUAUGAACCAAAAGCACCUUCCAUCCACCGCAACAUAUUGCACUGCACUGUAAUUACGGGCCUUUUUUAUAUUUUAUGAAGUCCAUGAAGUUUGGAAAUCAGGUGGGAGUACUCAAUUGUGUGAAAAUUGCGCUACUAGAUGCCCUCCCAUCCUACACACAGGACUUUUGGAUUGUUUUUUUUUCUUUUUUGUUUGUAUGUUGUUUUUUUUAUGUGAAUAGUUUGAUUAUGUUAUGAGGAAGUCUGGGAUUAAUGGAGUUUUUCUUCUUUUCAACACCCCAGCACUUUGUAUUGCUUUGUUGCUGAAAAUGUGCUAUAUAAAUAAAAUUACCUUUACCUUUACCCAGCUACUAGAAAUCAAGUUUUCACAAUUUGCUUAAGAUGCUUACAGAUGAGUUUGUAUGUAUUAAAGUCACAUGAAUUUAUCCUUUGGCAUUGAAAUGAUUAAAGUACAAAAGCCAACAAUACGUAAAGCAUGAAGUAGCAACACAAAGCUUUUAAGUCUUGACAAAAACAAAAAUUUAUGUUGCAGUGUUGAUAUUUUGUCCUCCUUUCUUUCCAACGAUGACACAUCGAUUGGCACAGAGUGCCUUGCCUGGUGGCACAUUGAUUUGUGAAAGGAGGAAACUGGAGUAGAACCUACGACCUUUCAAUUCUAAGACAGCUACUCUACCAGAAAAAGAUGGUUGAGAGCUUUGCCUGUUAAAACAUCUAAACUUUUCCCAUCAAACUGAAGUGUAUUCCACAAAGCACUUGGCAGUUGUUGUCAGCGUUUAUGUUUUAACAAUGUUUAUGGUUUAUGCUUUUACUAUUGAUGUUAUAUAUGUUUGAGGCUAUUAUUUUGAAGUAAUAAAGGAAACUGUUUUUAAA